ACUUUCAAGCCACAUGUGCCAGUGAUGCAGUUAAGUUUCAGAAGUUAGUUGAGAAAUAAGGAAUGUAUGACUUUCUUGCUUGGCUAAAUAUAGAAUAUGACCAGAUUCGAGUGUAAGUAAUUGGUAAGGAUAAUCUACCACCCUUAAGGCAAACUUAUUCUUAGGAGAGGAGAAGAAGUGUCAUGGUCCAUGCUACAGCUGUCGAUAAAUCGAGACUUGUUGUUGCUACCUCUAAGAAAUAGUCACAUAGCUCUGGUCCAUCAGACAAAGAUCAGUUGCACUAUGACUACUAUAGAAAAUCCCGAUACACCAAGGAAUACUACUGGAAACUACAUGGCCGCCCAACUAAGGGGCGUGGAGGAAAGAAGAUGGGCUCUGCUUGAUCAUAAGCAAAUGUAUUUGAGGCUGUGA
rnacentral:misc_RNA from 1 species